AGAAAUAACGACCACAACUCCGGCUGCAACGACGACUAAAGUUGUGACAACAACUACCCAGACCUCUACAUCCACCACAGCAGGAUACUGUAUGGAGCCAAUGGACGGCGAGCAAGGACUUGAGAGUAUCCGUUCUUCAACU
rnacentral:lncRNA from 1 species